ACGAAGGUGGCAAGCGUUGUUCGGAUUUACUGGGCGUACAGGGAGCGUAGGCGGUUGGAUAAGCCCUCCGUGAAAUCUCCAGGCUUAACCUGGAAAGUGCAGAGGGGACUGUUCAGCUAGAGGAUGGGAGAGGAGCGCGGAAUUCCCGGUGUAGCGGUGAAAUGCGUAGAGAUCGGAAGGAACACCAGUGGCGAAAGCGGCUUCCUGGUCCAGCACCGACGUUCAGGCACGAAAGCGUGGGGAGCAAACAGGA
rnacentral:rRNA from 1 species